GGUUCAUUCAAAUUUCUGCCCUAUCAACUUUCGACGGCUGGGUCUUGGCCAGCCGUGGUGACAACGGGUAACGGAGGAUUAGAGUUCGAUCCCGGAGAAGGAGCCUGAGAAACGGCUACUACAUCCAAGGAAGGCAGCAGGCGCGCAAAUUACCCAAUCCCGACCGGGGAGGUAGUGACAAUAAAUACUGAUACAGGGCUCUUUUGGGUCUUGUAAUUGGAAUGAGUACAAUUUAAAUCCCUUAACGAGGAACAAUUGGAGGGCAAGUCUGGUGCCAGCAGCCGCGGUAAUUCCAGCUCCAAUAGCGUAUAUUAAAGUUGUUGAGGUUAAAAAGCUCGUAGUUG
rnacentral:rRNA from 1 species